UACUCUCGGCAGUGGAUCACUUGGCUCGUGCGUUGAUGAAGAACGCAGCUAGCUGCAAGAAUUAAUGUGACUUGCAGGGCACACUGAUCAUCGACACUUCGAACACACUUGGUGGCCCCUGGUUAGCUCAUGGGGCAACACCUGUCUGAGGGUAG